UGAGUAACCUGCCCUUAACUCUGGGAUAAGCCUGGGAAACUGGGUCUAAUACCGGAUAUGACUCUUCAUCGCAUGGUGGGGGGUGGAAAGCUUUAUUGUGGUUUUGGAUGGACUCGCGGCCUAUCAGCUUGUUGGUGAGGUAAUGGCUCACCAAGGCGACGACGGGUAGCCGGCCUGAGAGGGUGACCGGCCACACUGGGACUGAGACACGGCCCAGACCUCCUACGGGAGCAG
rnacentral:rRNA from 1 species